rnacentral:rRNA from 1 species
AUUGAACGCUAGCGGCAUGCCUUACACAUGCAAGUCGAACGAGUGGCGGACGGGUGAGUAAUGUAUCGGAAAGUGCCUAGUGGAGGGGGAUAACUACUCGAAAGAGUAGCUAAUACCGCAUACAAUUGGAGCGGCCGAGAUCGGAUUAGCUAGUAGGUGGGGUAAAGGCUCACCAAGGCCACGAUCCCUAACUGGUCUGAGAGGAGGACCAGCCACACUGGAACUGAGACACGGCCCAGACUCCUACGGUAGGCAGCAGUGGGUAAUAUUGGACAAUGGGGGAAACCCUGAUCCAGCCAUGCCGCGUGUAUGAGAAGGCCUUCGGGUUGUAAAGUACUUUCAGCUAGGAGGCGUUAUCUGCAGAAUAAGCACCGGCUAACUACGUGACAGCAGCCGCGGUAAUAC